GUACGGGGGGGCAAGCGUUGUUCGGAAUUACUGGGCGUAAAGGGCGCGUAGGCGGCCAGCACAAGUCAGUUGUGAAAUCUCCGGGCUUAACUCGGAAAGGUCAACUGAUACUGUGCGGCUAGAGUGCAGAAGGGGCAACUGGAAUUCUCGGGUGUAGCGGUGAAAUGCGUAGAUAUCGAGAGGAACACCUGCGGCGAAGGCGGGUUGCUGGGCUGACACUGACGCUGAUGCGCGAAAGCCAGGGGAGCGAACGGG
rnacentral:rRNA from 1 species